UUUCCUCAGCAAAGAUUCAUAACUUUCAUGGGUAAACUCUGCUGAAGUCUCCCUCUUCCGGGCUUCUUCAAGACAAAGGUCCUCCACAGUCUGCAGUGCUCCCUCGUAGCUUAAGUGCUCGCAUUUUCUCUCGCAGAGGUUCUGUAAGUGAUAGAACUCCUUCUCAAGAUGCUGCAUGAUCUCCAGUCCUUGAUUUGUUUUCUCUUCCUUUGUGCACAUCCAUGACACAACUUGUUCCCCGCUAGAGGGUCCUGCAAAGAUCCAUGAAAGAAAUCCAUCCGCACCAGAAGACACAUUAUUGCCGUUAGCAAUAUCUCCAGAACUUACUAUAGCUACAUUAUCAAAUGCUGAGCCCAUAUAUUUCUCUUGGAUGCACUCAGUGCCAAGUACUUUUUCAUCCAAAAGAAGACAUGAAUCUUCACCAUCAAGAAGAAUCUCCUCUGUAACUUCACGACUCAGGUCGCCAGAAUUAAUUUCAUCAUUGGAGUUACUUUGUUCAGAAUAUCGAUUCAAUCCACAGGCCUGAGUCAAGUCUUGCAGGAAUAUGAGAAUUUUCCUGAGCUGGGAAGCUCCCAAAAAGCAGAUGCAUAUGGGUGACUGGUUCAAGCUACGACUUAAGAAUUGUGAAACCGAAGCUAGAUUCUGAAGUUCAUCCAGCGUAAAUUGUAUCACCUUAUCAUGAUGGCUGGCAGCUAAGUAUUUGUGUCUAAUAAGCAGCUCAAAGGCUGCACGGAUUUUUUCAAGGAGCUUUGCACGUUCAGGAUCAUCAGAUAUAGGCCAUCCAUCAGGAGGAGGAAAUGCGAUCGACAGCUUAACCUCUUCUUGUUCAUUCUCAUUACAACCGUUGCAAGUGUAUCCAAGGCUUUCUUUCUCUGGUGAAGUAUCAUUCCGUGCAUCCGUGAAGCAAUCGUCACCGUCAUCCAUAUUAUCUCCAGAGUGAAAUUCAUCAAACUUAGAAUUUUGGAUUUUCUGCUGACCGCGAAGCAAUUUUAUCGCAGCAGAGAGAUCCAAUGGUUUCCAUGGGGAAGUAAGAAGCAUAUCAAUCCUCUCAGUGUCGACACUUUGAGGCAGAACCAUUUGCAUCUUAGGUAAGACAUUACCCAUGUGCUCUUGCACAAUAUGAUGCAUAUGAGCCUCAGACUUUAUGAACUUUUCACUACACUGGCAGCAAACCCAGAACCUCCAAGUCUUAUUGGCCUCACAAAAGGACAGAGCUUCACUUAUAAUCUCAUUUGCAUUCCCAUCCUUUGAAGCACUAAAGUGACUCUUAAGAUCACUAACCUUAACUCUAAGCAAUUGUUUCUUCAUUUCUUUGCUCAUAGAAUCCCAGUAUGACCUAACCCGAUCCCUUCUAUCCGCUGUGGAGCCGUUUUUCCUUGCAUUUCCAUGCUUUCUCCUCUCUCCGCUUCUCUUCCCCGAACCUAAAGUUGGAUCUGGUCCCUUGUUGUCAACAGCUCCUACAUUUUCCAACGGGGAAGAUUCUGACUUCUGCUGCAACAACCUAGCUGCAGCUACCCUAACUUCAACCUCCUUCCUUAUCUCUUCAAUAGUUUUGUUAGCUUUUUUAAUCUCAUUAGGCCUCCUGGUCUGAAUCAAGUUACUCUCAAUAGGAUCCUCGGCCAUUCUCCUAAUGGGUAUCAACCGAAACUUUUCUUCACCUUUUCCCAGAUUAUUCAUCCAAGUAGACAAUGAACCAAUGUUAGAUUUCUGUAUCAGUGACCUGAGCUCAUCCUGCACAUGAACAAUACGAGCCUCAGGUGUCAAUAUCUUCAACUGAGUCUCAUCAUGCAAACUCUCUUUAGCAGGAUCAAUCGGAUUUUCGAUAGAGAGAGCACGUUGACACUCUUGCACAACUUCGUCAUACUCUCUCUUCCCAUCAUUAGCAGCCUCAUAAAGCAAGUUGGCAUAAAAAUGCCCAAACUCAAUCGAAUUCGGAGACAACUCCACAGCUUUUCUAGCAGAUUCAAUUGCAUUCCGGAGAUACUUGUGUUUCGUAGCUAGAUCCUCGUAGACAGCAGCAACCUUGACGCAGAUAGUUCCUUGAACACGGUGGAUUAGGGCAGAGUCUUGAUGACGAGAGCAUGAAUCCUUUAUCAGACGAAUCGCCUUGUUGUAGCUCCCCCGCCCGAAUGACUUGAGUGCCUUCUCGCAUUCGAGCUUGAUCACAGCCGAAUCCAACGGCGCGGGGGCUUUCUUCUUCUGACCCAUCCACGAUUCAGCUCAAAACCCUUAAUUUUAUCGGCAUGAAGAAUACUCAGAGAUAUGUAUACGCGUACGUAUAUAUUUACGCCCCACCAAAUGCGCAGAGAAGGUCAAAUCGGCAAUUAUAAUACAGUCAACAGACGGCGUCGCCUGAGAGAUUCCGGCAACGUGUUACGGCGGAGAUUGUUGGUGAGGGGAGAGAUAUAGAGAGAGUAACACAAGAGUCGUUGUGCUGCUCUCUCUCUCUCUCGCUAUGGAGCAGAAGAAAAUCAUUAAACCGAGAAAGGGAUUUACAUUAGCGAUUACAAACCGGUUUACUUUGAUUAGUAAUUAUUUUAGUUUUAACCAUCCGUAUAUAUGGUUAACAAGAGGAAGCGGAGUAAUCGGUUUGCGAACUGAACCGCUCUGUUUUUAAAAAACCGCUCCUACAAUUAUAAAUUCAUUCUCAUGCAGUUUCUACCCAUUUGUCCUUCUAAAUACUAUUAUGACCAUAUUAUUGCUACCUGAUGUAGCACAACUUGCCUAAUGUGACCAUGAGGUCGUCAUACAUUAUUCACGGAUCCACCAAUGUCCAUAGUGAGUGCUUGCCUCUUUGCGGAUUGACCCCGCGAAUACAACAUAUGAAGCUGAUUCUCGACCAACAAAAGACAUAGGUUUUUGCUUUCUAACAAUCGAAUCGCUUACCCGUGAAUUCACUUACAUCCACCAUAUUCGUCAUUCUCAGGCAAACACUCCUGAAUCCCCAAAUUUCAUCCAGGACACUUUUUAAAUAAUCAUAAUAUUUCUUAUGAGAUGUUCCAUUUCCUCAAGCUUAGUCUCGGUUUUCAACCCAUCUUCCGAUCGCAUCUUCGUUUUACUGUUUAAGCUUAAGUGUUAAACACAGUUGGAUUGGAGUUUACAUAGAUUUAAAACUUAAAUUAAUGUAUUAAAAAUAAAUAUAGUAAAUUAGUAAGUAUUAAAAGGUGAUAUACUGUACACAUUUCAUUGGAUUAGUGUUUCUGCAGUUUCUCCCCUAACUUCAAACUUCAAUUUAAUUAGUUGUCAAGAUAAGAUAUAUGUAUAAUGAUGAUAUGAUUUAUAGAGAUGACCGACGAAAUAGAUUUAUAUGAACAUAUAAUCCUUAAUGUGACAAGGAUUUAACCAAGAAAACUACAUGAUAUCUUCUAAGACCUCUUCCACUGAAAACACUUUUGCUUAAUUUCAAAGACAAAAUCUUCUUCCACAUCUCCUCUUAGAAGUUAGAACCACUGAGAUGAGUGUAAAUCACAUUCUUUCCUCUCGAGUUCACUUCUGCUUGUCAAAAAAACGUACUUACUUCCUUUGUAGUAUGUGUACUUACGAGAUCUCCUAAUCUGUAGCAACGGAACUCUACUUGGUCUGUUUUUCUUUUUGAUUCUUUUUUGUUUUAACGCUUCUCGUAGAGAAGAACCUGUGGUUGCAAGUGUCCUCUUUCACACAUAGAAAGAACAUCACUCCAGCUACCGAUCACCUGAAAGAUAUUACAAAAACUGGGUAAUGAUGUCGAUGAGUGUAUCUGCCUGCAAAACCCAUUGUAUUGAUAGUCUUACCUUGACGGUUUUGUCAUCGUACAUGAUCCACUGAUCGUGCUCACGACUAUGUGCAAAACAAUGAUAAUGCUGUCCAUAAUAACAAACCUGGAGUUGCAGAAAUAGCAAAAGAACAAUAUGUUACCUUGACGUUUUUAGGGUGAAAGCAAACAAGGAAAACACAAAGUACAUAGCUGAUGUUUUAACGACUCUUCUGGUAAUGUCAUAAGGAAGAAGAAGAAGAAAUGUGUACCACGGAAACUAAGCUAUAUGUGCUCUUAGGGUCCAGACCACGGUACAUGAUGCUGAUGUCUAUCUCGGUAUUCAAGGCUGCAAGAGUAGCUGCUAUGUCUUCUACAGUCUCACAUGUGUUUUGCCACCCUAAAACUGCCCGUCCCAAAAUAAUUAGUGACAAGACACAAACAUCAUCGAUCUGAAAAAAGUUUCCAUUCAUAAAAAUUCUAAAAACAAGUUUUACCUGUAGUAAAUACAUGCGGUGGAGUAGUGAGAAUAUGGUGGAUAUGGUUGAGUUUCCCACAUCCACCCGUUUCGGAAUCACAGGCUAGUUGAUGGUUCAUCUCGACAAGAUUUAGAAGUUCGUCAAAUGAAUUCUCAGUGCAUGUAACCUAUAAGGCAUAAAGCAGGGAGUUAUCAAAAAAAUAUGGGAAAAUUCAAGUCUAAUGAAUAUUAUCUAAUUAGCAUUGCUUUUUACCUUCAUGGUGCGUAGGGCACUAGCGUUGAUGUUAUGGAAAAAGGAAGUGUACUUCAUAUGCCUGGAUUCUAGCCCACAGCUGUAGCAAUUCAGUUGCUCAAAAAUAUCCAUUCCAAACAGAGAAUGGGCAAUACAUGUGCGGUUGGCACAGUCCCAUGAACCAGUACAGUUGCUGUCUGAGGAAUCCACAUCAGACACGCUUGAACUUUGAGCAAAUGAGCGAUGAAGGCAGUCAAAGAUCACCGCCAGUACUUCUGAAGCAUCGUUCAUCUGAGCCUGUCCACCAUAUGACGCCCAAGUUUAGGCUCAUAAGUGAAAUGAAGGUUUACUCUGUAUUAAGAUGAACAUUUAAAACUAGUAAUCAAAUUCUUUUACCUCUUGGAAGAAACUACUAUCUGGAUACAAAUUACUCAAAGCAAUCCUGAGAGAUGAAGGUGCCACAGGUUCAUUUUGUGUUUCACUCGAAGCAGCGCUCAAAGCAGCAAAAAUUUCAUACAAAGAGCAGACAACACAAGGAUCUCCCACGUGAUGGUGCUCUCGUGUUGAACUCUGUAAGAACUCAGCUCGAAACAGCUCCAGAUUCCAUAGAGACUAAGAUCAAAAAAAAAAAAAAAAAAUAGCUUUCAGCAAAGAUAAAUCUUUUAAGCUGAUAGAUACUGAAUUCCCAAGAAAUCAAACAGUUUAUGAAAAGUGAAGGUUACCUGUAUGAUAACAUUCAAAAAGCAAUUGUAUUCGCCAACUUCAUUCUGAAGACCUGUGCCAAAUAUGGCAAUUCCGGUUGAGCUCCUAGACUCAAUUGUGUCUUCAGAUAAACCCCCAUCAUUGUUUACUUCCAGAGGUGUCCUUAAACAUGAAGCCAUAUUUCUACCUCCUUGGUACACGUCUGGGUUAAAAAAAAAAUGUUCUGGUGUCAAAUGCUUCAUAUCAAGGGCUUUUGUCACCCCAAAAUGAUUACAGACCAAAUAUGCUGAAAAUUCUAAAUGAGAACGUAGCAGCUGUCGGCAUAAGUAAAGCAUGAGAAAAAAUAAUUUCAGACACCUUAAAUAAUCAGAUUAAAAAUGCAGUGAAAUGAAGAAAAAUGGUAUACACAAUACACCAUUCUUCAUAGAAAUGACAGUCAGUCAGACAAUAGUGACAAAAUGGGUACUUAGCAAAAUAUCGCAAAAUGUUGACUGUCAGACAUGAUAUCAGAUAUAUAAACAAGGAUGUUGAAAAACUACCAAGGCUUUGACGCACUGCCCUUUUAAGGUCAGCUUGAAACCUUUCUUCUUCAUCGUCUUCAGCUUGUAAUUGUCUUAAUGUCUUUGUUCCCACAUCUAGAAUGCAAGAUGAAUGAUGUUAGAAACAAUUGCUGGAAAUCAAUGUAGAUACUGUAAUUCCUCAUUGACAUAAAAGCAUAAAACAAAAUACACUGGUUACACAAGUAUCCGUUUUAAGAAAUCUAACGGCUUCAUUUGUUCUAACGGAUGAAAGGAGUUUCAUUUGUGCCUUAACUGGUCACAUCUAAUAUUCAACUUCAGAAAAACAAUAAGCUCAAGAAGAAAAAUCUAGAUCCAUAUCAGAUCAUCAAUAGAUCACAACUAUGAGUGCUUUGAAAACAUGAGACAAAGAGAAUGAUCUAGGACAAAAAUAAAAAUAAAACAAAAUCGCUUACCACCAUUGUUACGUAGAGUUUCAGAAUGUCUCUCGGCGUCGGUGCCUGACCACUGAGAUUUACUAUUUUCGGUCUCAGGAGGUGUGACUGGAUAUUUUCCAUCAACUAACUUGUUUGAAGCUUUUUGGCGUCUACCUCUCCUCCCAGUUCGUUGAUCAGAUUGGAACAUACCAGCUUGCAUAGCUGUGCCAUUAGGCACUACUGCAACACAAAAAAAAAAAAAAAAAAAAAGUGCCUCAGAAAGGUCAGCAGACACAUAUUUUCAUAUUCGAAGACCAGUGCUAACCUUUUUGGGAUUUUACAUCCUGCACCUUUGCACUAUCAGAUAUCGCAGAAUAAUUUGUUGACGGGAAAACUCCAUUUGUAUUCACUCUGGCUCCUUCCAGGUUGUCAAGUCGUCCAUUCCUUUUCUCCUGAUAAAGCAAAGAAACCCAGAAAUUAAUUUCAAGUGAUGAUUAAAAUAAACAUAACUCCACCCACCUUGUCACUCCAUUGUUACCUGAUUUAUGGAUUUUCCAUGUCCUUGUAAAUCUAAAUAAUCAACUACAUUAUCUGUGCAUGCAUUAUACACUGCCUUUGCAACAUUAAUGGGAACUGAAGAGCUGUAUUUCUUUUGUUGUUCUGCCAUGUGCUUCUCCUUAGCUUCAUCCUCAAUUCUUCUCUGAUACUCUAGAGUUUUUUCAAGUUUUCUCUCCUCCUCCUCUAGCUCUCUUUGGCGUUUAUAUUCCUCUUCCUGUUCUUUUAUAGCUUCAACAGCUUCAGAAACAACAUCAGCCUCUGAAUAAUCACCGACAGAUGCAACCGUAAGGGGGCUGGAACAAGAAAUUAGCAGGUAAAUCAACAACAGAUUAUACACCACCAACAUUUUCAGAAACAAAGAUUAUCCAGGUUACACCCGCUUAAGUAAAAAUUAUGAACAAAGCAGAUCUUCACCUGUGUUCAAAAGAAUCAGUAUUGAAGCGAUGGUCGUUUCCAAUAGUUGCCUAUAACAAAAAAGUAAAGCUAGUUACAAAUAUAGACAAGAAAUACCUAAAAGUAGACAACAGAUGGUUCAAACCUUCAAAUCCUUCAGUUUCCUAGUGUCUUUAAUCUUUUUCUUGUCCUUGGACUUUUCCAGCAUGUUUUUUGAAUUAUCAUUUCUUCCUCGAGCCUCCUUCUUAGAAUCAAGAGCGAGCUCAACAAGUAAAGCUUCUCUUGCAGCAUCAGACUUCUCAGUGGCAUCUCUCUCUGCUAACGCCUCCAAAUGUGCCUGGAGAGAGAGAGAGAGAGAGAAUGAAAGGGGGAGAUUAAGAUGGAAAUGCCAAUAAGAACCUGAAAGAACACUGCUACUAAUGGAAGAAAAAGUAACAAGGUCUAAAGAGUUAGAUAACUACCCGCAUGUAGGACUUCACCAAAGGUAACAAUACUAUCUGAUAAUCGUUGAAGGAAACUGGUCCAAGCUUUAGCUCUAAUUGCUGCAUCCCAGUGACAGUACGCAUCAUUUGCGCGUCAAUUUUGCUAAGCUGUGAUAUCACCACAUAUACAGAUUAUUUUUAAAGCAGAAAGGCAGCUAAUGAUUAUCGCAGUCGUGUUGCGUAAAAAUAAUAAAGGUUACCUCUGCAGACAACUGCUCUUUUUGUUUCUGGAUCGCAAUCUCUAUGAAACUGUCAGCCUCAUGUAAGGAAUCCUUCAUCCCCCAUUCAUCAGCUUCACCAGAUUCCAGAUCACGAAGCUGAGAACUCGUGCAGCCAUAUGAUUCUUCAUAUCCAAAUUGAUUGUGGUUAAGGGUUUCAGCAUCUUUCAAAACAUUUGUUAUAGCAUCUAACUCAAACCUACUACUGAUAAACACCAACUCAAGGUCAUUAUCAUUUAGAUCGUCUCUUCGUUUCCUCAACACAGAUUCAUAGCUUUCAUGGGUAAACUCUGCUGAAGUCUCCCUCUUCCGGCCUUCUUCAAGACAUAGGUCCUCAACAGUCUGCAGUGCUCCCUCGUAGCUUAAGUGCUCGCAUUUUCUCUCGCAGAGGUUCUGUAAGUGAUAGAACUCCUUCUCAAGAUGCUGCAUGAUCUCCAGUCCUUGAUUUGUUUUCUCUUCCUUUGUGCACAUCCAUGACACAACUUGUUCCCCGCUAGAGGGUCCUGC
rnacentral:lncRNA from 1 species